CCAAACCGAUGGAUUCGGGAGUAGUAAUCGGACAAGAUCAGAUCAAGAGAGAACUGCGGAUGGUGUGAUCGCGGUGUGAAGAUCCCGAUGAAUGGACCCGAUGACGGGCGGUCAGGAAAUGGACCGACGGGAACCUUGUCCGUUAUCAGUAAGGCGCGUUUGUUGGAACGUGAGAGAGUGGAUCGCAUAAGCGAUCAAUAAUAGGUGGUACCGCAGGAAUAUUCUUGCCCUAUAU
rnacentral:ncRNA from 1 species